GAACGACCUUGAGCUCGCAAGAGCACGGGGGAGUGGCGGACGGGUGAGUAACACAUGGGUGACCUACCCUGAAGUGAGGAAUACCGGCGAGAAAUUGCCGACAAGACCGCAUAGGCUUUCUCUAGUAGAGUGGGGAGAGCAAAGUGUCACUUGUUGAAAGUGAGACGCUUGAGGAUGGGCCUGUGGCCGAUUAGCUAGUUGGUGGGGUAAGAGCUUACCAAGGCGUCGAUCGGUAGCUGGUCUGAGAGGACGAACAGCCACACUGGGAUUGAGAACGGCCCAGACUCCUACGGGGGGCAGCAGUGAGGAAUUUUCCGCAAUGGACGCAAGUCUGACGGAGCAACGCCGCGUGCAGGAAGACGCUCUUCGGAGUGUAAACUGCUUUUCUGUGGGACGAGAGUGGACGGUACCACAGGAAGAAGCCCCGGCUAACUACGUG
rnacentral:rRNA from 1 species